rnacentral:rRNA from 1 species
AGUGAACGCUGGCGGUAGACCUAACACAUGCAAGUCGAACGGCAGCACAGUAAGAGCUUGCUCUUACGGGUGGCGAGUGGCGGACGGGUGAGGAAUACAUCUGUAUCUACUUUUUCGUGGGGGAUAACGUAGGGAAACUUACGCUACUACCGCAUACGACCUACGGGUGAAAGCAGGUGAUCUUCGGACCUUGCGCGAUUGACUGAGCCGAUGUCGGAUUAGCUAGUUGGCGGGGUAAAGGCCCACCAAGGCGACGAUCCGUAGCUGGUCUGAGAGGAUGAUCAGCCACACUGGGACUGAGACACGGUCCAGACUCCUACGGGAGGCAGCAGUGGGGAAUAUUGGACAAUGGGCGCAAGCCUGAUCCAGCAAUACCGCGUGGGUGAAGAAGGCCUUCGGGUUGUAAAGCACUUUUGUUGGGAAAGAAAAGCAGCAGGUUAAUACCGCGCUGUUCUGACGGUACCCAAAGAAUAAGCACCGGCUAACUUCGUG